UACGUAGGUGGCAAGCGUUGUCUGGAUUUACUGGGCGUAAAGGGCGUGCAGGCGGUUUGUUAAGUGCAGGGUGAAAGCUCCCGGCUCAACUGGGAGAGGUCCUUGCAUACUGGCAAACUCGAGGGAGGCAGAGGAAAGUGGAAUUCCCGGUGUAGUGGUGAUAUGCGUAGAUAUCGGGAGGAACACCUGUGGCGAAGGCGGCUUUCUGGGCCUUACCUGACGCUGAGACGCGAAAGCGUGGGGAGCGAACCGG
rnacentral:rRNA from 1 species